rnacentral:rRNA from 1 species
AUUGAACGCUGGCGGCAGGCCUAACACAUGCAAGUCGAGCGGAUGAAGGGAGCUUGCUCCUGGAUUCAGCGGCGGACGGGUGAGUAAUGCCUAGGAAUCUGCCUGGUAAUGGGGGAUAACGUCCGGAAACGGGCGCUAAUACCGCAUACGUCCUGAGGGAGAAAGUGGGGGAUCUUCGGACCUCACGCUAUCAGAUGAGCCUAGGUCGGAUUAGCUAGUUGGUGGGGUAAAGGCCUACCAAGGCGACGAUCCGUAACUGGUCUGGGAGGAUGAUCAGUCACACUGGAACUGAGACACGGUCCAGACUCCUACGGGAGGCAGCAGUGGGGAAUAUUGGACAAUGGGCGAAAGCCUGAUCCAGCCAUGCCGCGUGUGUGAAGAAGGUCUUCGGAUUGUAAAGCACUUUAAGUUGGGAGGAAGGGCAGUAAGUUAAUACCUUGCUGUUUUGACGUUACCAACAGAAUAAGCACCGGCUAACUUCGU